GGUUGCGAUCAUACCAGCACUAAUGCACCGGAUCCCAUCAGAACUCCGCAGUUAAGCGUGCUUGGGCGAGAGUAGUACUAGGAUGGGUGACUCCGCAGUUAAGCGUGCUUGGGCGAGAGUAGUACUAGGAUGGGUGACCCCCUGGGAAGUCCUCGUGUUGCAACCC
rnacentral:rRNA from 1 species